rnacentral:rRNA from 1 species
AUUGAACGCUGGCGGCAUGCCUUACACAUGCAAGUCGAACGGUAGAGGGGGCAACCCCUCGAGAGUGGCGAACGGGUGAGUAAAGCAUCGGAACGUGCCCAGUAGUGGGGGAUAGCCCGGCGAAAGCCGGAUUAAUACCGCAUGAGACCUACGGGUGAAAGGGGGGGAUCGCAAGACCUCUCGCUAUUGGAGCGGCCGAUGUCAGAUUAGGUAGUUGGUGGGGUAAAGGCCGAGCAAGCCGCAGAUCUGUAGCUGGUCUGAGAGGACGACCAGCCACACUGGGACUGAGACACGGCCCAGACUCCUACGGGAGGCAGCAGUGGGGAAUGUUGGACAAUGGGCGCAAGCCUGAUCCAGCCAUGCCGCGUGCGGGAAGAAGGCCUUCGGGUUGUAAACCGCUUUUGUCAGGGAAGAAAUCCUUUGAGCUAAUACCUCGGGGGGAUGACGGUACCUGAAGAAUAAGCACCGGCUAACUACGUGCCAGCCGCCGCCGUAAGAC